UCAGGCCUAACACAUGCAAGUCGAACGAAGUAGCAAUACUUAGUGGCAGACGGGUGAGUAACAUGUAGGUAUCUGCCCUUUGGCCUGGAAUAACACGAGGAAACUUGUGCUAAUACCGGAUAAGUCUUUACGGAGAAAGCUUUAUGCACCAUUGGAUGAGCCUGCACUUGAUUAGUUUGUUGGUGGGGUAAUGGCCUACCAAGACUGUGAUCAAUAGCUGAUUUGAGAGGAUGAUCAGCCACAUUGGGACUGAGACACGGCCCAAACUCCUACGGGAGGCAGCAGUGGGGAAUCUUGCACAAUGGAGGAAACUCUGAUGCAGCGAUGCCGCGUGAGUGAAGAAGGCCUUUGGGUUGUAAAGCUCUUUCGUCGGGGAAGAAAAUGACUGUACCCGAAUAAGAAGGUCCGGCUAACUUCGUGCCAGCAGCCGCGGUAAUACGAAGGGACCUAGCGUAGUUCGGAAUUACUGGGCUUAAAGAGUUCGUAGGUGGUUGAAAAAGUUGGUGGUGAAAUCCCAGAGCUUAACUCUGGAACUGCCAUCAAAACUUUUCAGCUAGAGUAUGAUAGAGGAAAGCAGAAUUUCUAGUGUAGAGGUGAAAUUCGUAGAUAUUAGAAAGAAUACCAAUUGCGAAGGCAGCUUUCUGGAUCAUUACUGACACUGAGGAACGAAAGCAUGGGUAGCGAAGAGGAUUAGAUACCC
rnacentral:rRNA from 1 species